GACGUAGGGGGCCAGCGUUGUUCGGAAUUACUGGGUGUAAAGGGUUCGUAGGCGGUGCGGCAAGUUGGGAGUGAAAUCUCUGGGCUUAACCCAGAGGCUGCUUCCAAAACUGCUGUGCUUGAGUGUGGGAGAGGCGCGUGGAAUUGCAGGUGUAGCGGUGAAAUGCGUAGAUACCUGCAGGAACACCCAUGGCGAAAGCGGCGCGCUGGACCACUACUGACGCUGAGGAACGAAAGCUAGGGGAGCAAACAGG
rnacentral:rRNA from 1 species